UACGGAGGGUGCAAGCGUUAUCCGGAUUCACUGGGUUUAAAGGGUCCGUAGGCGGUUUUGUAAGUCAGUGGUGAAAGCCCAUCGCUCAACGGUGGAACGGCCAUUGAUACUGCAAGACUUGAAUUAUUGUGAAGUAACUAGAAUAUGUAGUGUAGCGGUGAAAUGCUUAGAGAUUACAUGGAAUACCAAUUGCGAAGGCAGGUUACUAACAAUAUAUUGACGCUGAUGGACGAAAGCGUGGGUAGCGAACAGG
rnacentral:rRNA from 1 species